CCUAAUAAGAAGCCAGAUAUCUACAUAUCAAAAUGCAGGACCUACGACUUUCAAGUCAUUGCAGGAAUCAGAACGCUCGAUUCCAAGUUCCAACCAUGUAAUUUAGCAGGUAAAAACAGGUUAUAUUUACAAGACUAAAUCAGUGUAGCAGGUUUAGUUUAAAGGGAAGACUCUUACUUCUGCAGUUUUACGACCAUUGACUGAUAGGGAACUGAGGAAAUCAAAUAAGGGCUCCUGGCAUUCACUAAGGUUGCAUGGCAAGGAAGGCCAAUAAUUCAUUUCAAGAUUGAUGUUCAAAUGAGGAGCAGAGCUGAGGACAGAGGUAACAGAACCAGUCACAAUCCAAGUAAUACUUUGAUGGAUAUAAUGGCUGUAGAUAUAAUGUUCCACAGGACAUACAUCACACAAGCAAGAUUAAAUGAGAAAAAUAAGAGAAACGGAAUGUAGACAUACUCCC
rnacentral:lncRNA from 1 species